AUUCCGGGGCCCUGGUUUCUUGGCGCGAUGAGGUUCCGGUUCUGUGGUGAUCUGGACUGUCCCGACUGGGUCUUGGCAGAAAUCAGCACGCUGGCCAAGAUGGUUGAGUGCACAGGGUCUAGUCUGGGUGGAGGAGGGGUGUUGGGCUGGGGAUUGUGGGUGUAGAGGAUGGUGAGGUUUCUCUGGGGUUAGGCCCUCAGUGCUCUCAGCCUGUGCUACCAUGCUUUGUGACCUUGAUCAGUGGCUGGCCUGCUCUGAGGCUGUCCCCAGGAAGGAGGGGUGAGGUUUGCCAGCCUGGCUGAUGUAAGGACUUCCCUUCCAGUCCUCUGUGAAGUUGCGGCUGCUCUGCAGCCAGGUACUAAAGGAGCUGCUGGGACAGGGAAUUGAUUAUGAGAAGAUCCUGAAGCUCACGGCUGACGCCAAGUUUGGUGAGUACCUUGCUGAGUCUACAGGCCCCAGGCAACCCUGCGAACUUGGCCUGGUACCUGG
rnacentral:sRNA from 1 species